GCCUCCAUAGCUCAGUGGUUAGAUCACUGGUCUAGCAAACCAGGGGUCGAGAGUUCAAUUCACCCUGGAGGCA
rfam:Schistosoma rodhaini strain Burundi genome assembly, scaffold: SROB_scaffold0009086